rnacentral:rRNA from 1 species
CCUACGGGGUGCAGCAGUGAGGAAUAUUGGUCAAUGGACGAGAGUCUGAACCAGCCAAGUAGCGUGAAGGAUGACUGCCCUAUGGGUUGUAAACUUCUUUUAUAAAGGAAUAAAACGAGGCACGUGUGCCUUUUUGCAUGUACUUUAUGAAUAAGGAUCGGCUAACUCCGUGCCAGCAGCCGCGGUAAUACGGAGGAUCCGAGCGUUAUCCGGAUUUAUUGGGUUUACAGGGAGCGUAGAUGGGUUGGUAAGGCAGUGGUGAAAGUUUGCGGCUCAACCGUAAAAUUGCAAUUGAUACUGGCAGUCUUGCGUACAGUUGCGUUCGGCGGCAUUCGUGUUGUAGCG